rnacentral:rRNA from 1 species
GACGAACGCUGGCGGCGUGCCUAAUACAUGCAAGUCGAACGAGAGCGACCGGUGCUUGCACUGGUCAAUCUAGUGGCGAACGGGUGAGUAACACGUGGGUAACCUGCCCAUCAGAGGGGGAUAACAUCCGGAAACGGAUGCUAAAACCGCAUAGGUCUUCGAACCGCAUGGUUUGAAGAGGAAAAGAGGCGCAAGCUUCUGCUGAUCGAUGGACCCGCGGUGCAUUAGCUAGUUGGUGAGGUAACGGCUCACCAAGGCCGUGAUGCAUAGCCGACCUGAGAGGGUGAUCGGCCACAUUGGGACUGAGACACGGCCCAAACUCCUACGGGAGGCAGCAGUAGGGAAUCUUCCGCAAUGGACGCAAGUCUGACGGAGCAACGCCGCGUGAGUGAAGAAGGUUUUCGGAUCGUAAAACUCUGUUGUUAGAGAAGAACAAGUGCUAGAGUAACUGUUAGCGCCUUGACGGUAUCUAACCAGAAAGCCACGGCUAACUACGUG